GCGUGAGUGAAGAAGGCCUUAGGGUUGUAAAACUCUUUCAGUCACGAGGAUAAUGACGGUAGUGACAGAAGAAGCCCCGGCUAACUCCGUGCCAGCAGCCGCGGUAAUACGGAGGGGGCUAGCGUUGUUCGGAAUUACUGGGCGUAAAGCGCGCGUAGGCGGUUUAGCAAGUUAGGGGUGAAAUCCCGGGGCCCAACCCCGGAACUGCCUCUAAAACUGCUAGACUAGAAUUCAAGAGAGGUAGGCGGAACUCCCAGUGUAGAGGUGAAAUUCGU
rnacentral:rRNA from 1 species